rnacentral:rRNA from 1 species
UACGUAGGGGGCAAGCGUUGUCCGGAUUUAUUGGGCGUAAAGAGCGUGUAGGCGGCCUGAAAGGUCAGCUGUGAAAACUCGAGGCUCAACCUCGAGACGUCGGUUGAAACCAUCUGGCUAGAGUCCGGAAGAGGAGUGUGGAAUUCCGCGUGUAGCAGUGAAAUGCGUAGAGAUGCGGAGGAACACCGAUGGCGAAGGCAGCCCCCUGGGCUAACACUGACGCUCAGGCACGAAAGCGUGGGGAGCAAACAGG